AUUUACCCUUUUUCUCAUGUGUCAUAUCCUAACUAGAGUUCUUAGGAAGCGAAAGCACAUUCUUCUAUGCCUCUCUCUUCUGCCCAUACAACAAAGUUGCCUGCAGAAGAAGAGAAUCUUUACCCAAGUGUAUGCAGAUUACAAGGAUUUCAAGUUCUUGCCCAAUGAACUUGUUUUUACUCCACAGAAUAGCUAUGCUUUGCUCAAAAGGAUUUCAAGUUCCAUCCUUUAUUAGUUAUUACCACCAAAUAUAUUCAUAUAAAAAUACACAGCCCUGAAAAAUACCAAACAGAUU
rnacentral:misc_RNA from 1 species